rnacentral:rRNA from 1 species
UACGUAGGCAGCGAGCGUUGUUCGGAGUUACUGGGCGUAAAGAGUGCGUUAGGCGGUUUUCUAAGUUUGGUGUGAAAUCUCCCGGCUUAACUGGGAGGGUGCGCCGAAGACUGGAAGGCUUGAGUAUGGGAGAGGUAAGCGGAAUUCCUGGUGUAGCGGUGAAAUGCGUAGAUAUCAGGAGGAACACCUGCGGUGUAGACGGCUUACUGGACCAUAACUGACGCUGGAGGCACGAAAAGCGUGGGUAGCAAACAGG